UACGAAGGGGGCUAGCGUUGCUCGGAAUCACUGGGCGUAAAGGGUGCGUAGGCGGGUCUUUAAGUCAGGGGUGAAAUCCUGGAGCUCAACUCCAGAACUGCCUUUGAUACUGAAGAUCUUGAGUUCGGGAGAGGUGAGUGGAACUGCGAGUGUAGAGGUGAAAUUCGUAGAUAUUCGCAAGAACACCAGUGGCGAAGGCGGCUCACUGGCCCGGUACUGACGCUGAGGCGCGAAAGCGUGGGGAGCAACAGG
rnacentral:rRNA from 1 species